rnacentral:rRNA from 1 species
CACGUAGGGCGCAAGCGUUGUCCGGAAUUAUUGGGCGUAAAGAGCUCGUAGGUGGUUUGUUACGUCUGCUGUGAAAACCUAGGGCUUAACCCUGGGCUUGCAGUGGAUACGGGCAGACUAGAGGUAGGUAGGGGAGAAUGGAAUUCCUGGUGUAGCGGUGAAAUGCGCAGAUAUCAGGAGGAACACCGGUGGCGAAGGCGGGACUCUGGGCCGAUACUGACGCUGAGGAGCGAAAGCGUGGGGAGCGAACAGG